GGCUGGUCCAAUGGUAGUGAGUUAUCAGAACUUACUAAUGUUAGCAUCACUGAAGUUGGUAUUCAACUCCUCACUGCUAAAUUUGACUGGCUUAAA
ensembl:misc_RNA Y_RNA Y RNA